AUACGUAGGGUGCAAGCGUUAAUCGGAAUUACUGGGCGUAAAGCGUGCGCAGGCGGUUUGGCAAGAAAGGUGUGAAAUCCCGGGGCUUAACCUCGGAACUGCACUUUUAACUGCCAGGCUAGAGUACGUCAGAGGGGGGUAGAAUUCCACGUGUAGCAGUGAAAUGCGUAGAGAUGUGGAGGAAUACCGAUGGCGAAGGCAGCCCCCUGGGAUGAUACUGACGCUCAUGCACGAAAGCGUGGGGAGCAAACAGGAUUAGAUACCCUGGUAGUCCACGCCCUAAACGAUGUCAACUAGCUGUUGGGGUUUAUUAACCUUAGUAGCGCAGCCAACGCGUGAAGUUGACCGCCUGGGGAGUACGGUCGCAAGAUUAAA
rnacentral:rRNA from 1 species